UAUUCUGCAUACACUAAUGUUGGUCAUGCCAAAGUUCCUGUUGGUGUAAUUGUGGUGAUUUACUUAUUUAAACGGAGUCAUAUAUUAAAUAAAAUAUUUCCAUACACAUUCAUAGCUGUCAAAAUACAUAAAUCUAUACUGCCAAUCUAUAAUUAAUUCAAAUGCUAUAACUGAUUUUGUUUAUAUAGUACAGUUUGCGGAGCAGAUUUGUGCCACUGGAACAGAGCAGUCUGAUAUAGAUACAUAAGGUGAGUCUUGUCCGAAGCUUUUAGGGUAGAACAUACUGAAAUUGAAUCAUUAAGGUGAGAUUCGUGAGUGUCAGCUAAUUCAGAGCAGAGGAAUAAGCUUUUCUCUUGGUGUGUUUUGUAUUAUUCUAUGCUUUUAAGAAGCGGUUCAACUGAGCCCUUGUUGGAGGUGUGUUUCUCUCUGCAGUUAGUGUACUGAAUGAGUUCUUGUCCUAACCAGUAGAGGACAGUAUUGUAUUAUUAGUUUCAUUAAGACUCUGCUCUUAAAGGGACAGUCCACCCCAAGAUGACAACCCUUCCAUUAUUUACUCUCACUCUGCUGUUCCAAACCUGUAUGCAUUUCUAUUCUGUGAGGAACUCAACAGAAGAUAUUAUAUAAAUAUGUGCCGAGUAGUUUUGGGCCACACUGACGUUCAUUAUACAGAUAAAAACAGCUCUUCUUCUGUGUUUGUGAGGUUCAGAAUGACAUGAGGGUGAGUAGAAGAUGAGAGCAUUUGCAUUUCGGGUGAACUGUUCCUUUAGGCUCCUGAUACACUUAUGUAACCCAGUAGAGGAAGUUAGUCGAACUGGACAUCGCAGUUUUAUAAUAUGUUAAAGUUAGUCCGUUUUAAUUGGCAGUAGUUUGAAAUCUGUUGGACCAAAUUGUAGUUUUGCGUUCUGUAAAGUCAAACUUGUGUUGCAUGCUGUUCGAUUUGGACUUUACCACUGUGAAGAUGAAUCAUAUCCUGUGCCUGUUUCAUUCAUGUGUUAUUAUUAGUGUUUAAUGGUAAUGAUUCAUUGACCUGGAUGUUUUUUGGGUGAAUUGGUUUUUGUAUUAAUAAACCUUUUCUCAAAA